CUGGUUAGCAGUAAUCAGCUGCUUCUGAUACUGAUAGUUGUGUGGUGUGAUGAGAAACAAGGCAGCCUUCUAGAUUCUAGAAGACUUUUCUCCUGCUUAUCCAGGGUUGGGUUGUGGUGGCAGUCACUUCAUUGUUUCACUCACUGCCUCUGCCCAUUUCAGAUAGCACAGUUUCUCCUCCUGACAAAUAUUUCAUUGUUUUCUUUCCUAGAAACCAUAGUUGGUCAGAUCUCAGGGCAGUUCCUCAGUGCCACUGUUGGAGGCUCCGUCCUGAUCCCCUGCUCUCUACCAGUUCAUCCACUGAGACUCAGAUGGUUUUACUGGCAGGAGGACCAGUCCAACAACAUCUUGUUUGACUGGGACACCAGUGGGAAACCACUGCCAGUAGCUGACAAAUACAAGAACAGAUGCCACGCCACCCCUACUCAGUUUAGUUCUGGAAAUAUUUCCAUUAAACUUGACAAUGUUACUGUUGGAGAUGACAAGAAAACAUUUUGGGCCUAUGUAAAUUUAAUGGACGAGAAAAAAGUCACCAAACCGUCUGAACGACAUUGCACAUUCACACUGCAGGUUUCAGCUCCUUUCCAGAACCCAAACAUUGAGAUAAACCAAACAGAGAUGAUAGCAACCUGCAGCACAAAUGGAGGAUACCCUGAACCUGAACUCAAAUGGAGCGGGGAUGGAGGGACUAAACUGGAACCACAAAAAACCACAAUGACUCCUGAAGCAGACCUCACCUACAACAUCAGCAGCAGAGUCAACGUCACUGGGUUACAGAACGUGAUCUGCACAGUUUACAACCCAACUUCAAACCAGACUCUGACUGCAACUAAAGAUGUGUUACCAGGUGCUUCAGUGUUUACUUUUUUAAUUUUUUAAUGUGUGAUGAUCGUUUCAUCUGCCUGCCAUCUACUUACUGUGCUGUGUCUGUAAAAUGGACAUAAAGUCAAAUAGAAAGGGCUGCUGAAGUUUUAACUUAUUUUGAGGCCCAUUUAUAAAGAAGUUCUCUGUGUCAUAGUCAAGUUUUAAUACUUUUAAUAUUUCAAUUGAUAUUAUAUUUAUAGUGCAGAUUUAUGUGGGAUGGUAUUAUCACUGACAUAAAGCAAACCUGGGUUAAUCAAUAUGCUUGCAUAUUCAACGAUAAUGUUAAGAUUCAAUAUGAAAGCAUGAUGUGGUUCAAAGUCUUUUUAUUUGUUCUUGUCAUUGUGUUUGAGGGUUUUUGUUUGUAGUUGAUGCUUCUGCUAUUUACUGUAUGUAAAGACGUAGACUUAAGUAACUGAGCUGCGACUAUAAAGGAGACCUACACCAAUCAGCCAUAACAGUAUGAGCACUGACAGGUGAAUAACACUGAUUAUCUGGUUAUCAGGGCUCCUGUCAGUGGGUAGGAUAUAUCAGGCAGCAAGUGAACAUUUAGUCCUCAGAGUUGAAAUGUUAGAAGCAGGGAAAAUGGGCACCGUGAGGAUCUGAGCCACUUUGACAAGAGCCACAUUGUGAUGGUUAGACGACUGGGUCAGAGCAUCUCCAAACCUGCAGCUCUUGUGGGGUGUCUGCAGAGGUCAGUACCUAUCAAAAGUGGUCCAAGGAAGGAGAAGAACUGCAGACAGGGUCAUGGGCGGUGAAGGUUCACUGAUGCAUGUGGGGAGCGAAGGUUGGCCCGUGUGGUCCGAUCCAACAGAUUCAUAUAAGUAAUAAAAUCAGUGACUAAAGAUUUGGGGAGCUGACAGAAAUCAGUAUUUUUGUGCCCCUUCAUACCAAACAAUAAUGUGUUUAAAAUAUUGUUAGUAUCAGUACAGCAUGCUGAAUAACGUAUUACUUUGUUAUUUACCCUAAUUUGCAGGUGGGGACCCGCAGUGGAAAUAUUGGCCUAUUUUAAUUGUGAUCCUUAUCCUCAUCGUCAUCGGCAUAUGUGUGUAUUGUGAGUGAUCUUUUGUUUAUGCUGCAUUGUAACUGCUAUUUUAUCAUCAGCUGGUGAAAAUGAAUUACCUCAGAUAUCACACAGAAACCUUUUGACCUGAUAUGGACAAACACAACUAGGCUGAAAGUAUGAAACUACACUGGAGGUUAAGCACGGACUAAAUUGUAAAUUAUUGUAUCCUGUUGUCAGACAAAUUCCUGUAAACUAUGGACUGUAAAUAAUAAUCAAACUUCAUUAACUUUUUAUCAAACAAACUGGUUCAAGUGGAUAAGAAAUCUGAGCGAACACACACUGCAGUUUAUCUGAAAAUCCUGGUUCUUUAAAGAGUCAGAGUCGGGGGCCCGGUUAGCUCAGUAGGUAGAGUUGGUGACCCAUAUGUGGAGUUGCUGCAGCGGCCUGGUUUUGAGUCUGACCUGUAGCCCUUUGCUGCGUGUCAUCCCCUCUCUCUCUGCCCCCCUUUCCUGUCUGUCUUCGGCUGUCACUAUACAAUAAAGGCAAAAAAAUAACUUAAAAAAAAGAGUCAGAGUGCAGUAUAUUAAUAUUAAGACAUUGUUUAUGGACUAGCACUACACUGCUGGGGUUGUUUGUAUCAUCAUGACAUAAAAAUUCUCCUUAAUUCCAGAUAAAAGGCGUAACCGGAAUCCACAAAACCAAAGAAAUGGUACUGAUCCUCAGCGCAGUGUUGCAGGACGAAAUCAGCCUGAGGAGAAUAUUCCACUGAGGAGGAGGAAUGGUGCUGAAAGCUCGACUGAUGAAGAUGCAGCUUCUGGUGGAGGUGCUUCUGGUGGUGGUGGUGCAGAACAUGACAAAAGCAGUUAAAUGGAGAUUUAAUUUUAUUUAUUUAUUUAUUUAUUUAUCUAGUAAUACAUUUCCAUCUAUUUUAUUACUUGCUAAAUCAUCUCUUUCUAAUCUGUCCUCCGGUGUUUCCUCUCUGCAAAUUGAAGAGAUAGAGUUCCCUUGUGUCAUUGUGGGUGGUGUUAUCAUUGAGUUUUUUAUUGAUUACAGUUAUUACUUUGUGUGUAUGGGGUUGUUGUUAGGGUGUGAAGCAAUUUGUUUUAUUUUUGUGUGUACUAUCACACACACACACACACACACACACACACACACACACACACACACACACACACACUGUGUGACUAUACAAAUAAAGUAUGAAUCAUAACUGGGAUCAGAACUGGUGCUGGAAGGGAGGCAAAACAGGAGUUAAAGAACUACAGUAGUUUGAACUGGUAUCAAACUUUUCAGAUGUAAUUUUAAAAAUAACGUUACAGAAAGAAACUAACUGAUCAACACCUCAGACGUGUGCUUUAUCAAUAUCAGGUGCUAUUUUCUACAGAUGUUCAGUUACUUGGGUCCAAAGAACCACAACUGUUUAAAUGGUUGAAUUAUUUUUGUUUUUGCUAUAAAUGUCUGACAGUGUCCUUGUUAAUAUGUAACUGCAAACAUUUUAUGUCCUUUAUCUUGAAUUUAAUUUUCAAUUUCAAUUGUAAAGUUUUACAACAGUAUAAAGGUUUUAAGAGAAAAAUGAACAUAAUAAUAAUAAUUGAUGAGAUAGUGUUUCCUCAGUUUGUGUUUUUUGUGAGUGCGGUUAUCAUUGAAUGUUUUACAUUUAUCAGUUUUGUUUGUAUGUAAAGUGUAUACUACAGUGUAUGUAACUAUACAAAUAAAGUGUGACUGAUUGAUUGAUGUAUGUUAUUAAACCUCUGUACAAUAGACGUGUUGUGGUUUAUCUGAGGUCCGUGUAUCUUUUGGUCAUUGGAUUUUCCUUUCAGUAACGGGUAUUAAAAAACAGAAAACGAGUGGUUAUUUGAUUUUCGUUUUAAAAUACAAAAAUUAAAAUUGAAAUACAAGGCGUUUUUCUUUUUCAUGGUCAAAAAGGGAUGAGCAAAAUUAAAAAAAAUAUUCGAUUUUCAUUUUCUAUUUCAUAUAACAAAAAAUAAAAUCACUAGAAAACAGAAACAGAAAAAAGGCCUGUUUUUAUUCUGAGACCGGAUGUUGUCAUUUACAGGAGGGUGCUGUGUAGAAGAAACAGUAGGCUAAUAGACUGCGGUCAAUCCAGCCGUGAGUCCGAUCUCCGUGGUCAAAUCAGCCGCACUUAAAUUUAGAGUGUACAAGUAUUCUCAGCAUUAUGGUAAAUGCGGAGAAACAGCGUAUUUACUUCCGGCUCUAUGGGGUUUUGGGUGGGUGACUGUUCUAAAGAAAGCGCAGAGAAGUGUGUAAGACAGCAGCUCUGCUUCCUGGUCCUAACUCUGGACUGUCAGGUUUUAGAAAUAAACUUCGCCAUAUUUCUAGAUAAGAGAGCCGCUCCAUCCAAAGUGGGGUGGAUGCUGUCUCUCCUAAUCAGACCAGGUUUUCCCCAAAAAGGCUUCCAGUUAUCAAUGAAGCCCACAUCGUUUUCUAGACAUCACCUCGACAGCCAGCGGUGGAAGUCCGACAUGCGGCUAUACAUGUCAUCACUGGUCACAUUGGGCAGGGGUCCAGAGAAAACUACGGAGUCCGACAUAGUUUUAGCAUAAUUACACGCUGACUCCACACACACACACACACACACACACACACACACACACACACACACACACACUCAAACUUAUGUUAGAGUUUGUAGGUGUCAGUGUACAUCACAAUAUUGCAUCACCUUUGUAUGUGUGACUUUUGGGAAGAGAGGAGACCACAGACUCACUCUCUCUGUCACACACACACACACAGCUUACAAAUUUUAAUUUAGUCUUAAAUUAACUUAAAUAUUGGCUUUUAAUAUUGAAUAUAAUGGCUUUAUUCUGUGCUUCCAAGUAUUUCCAUUUACUAAACAUACCCUUUUUAAUCACUUGGAUGAAGCACUUAAUAACAGUGGAGCUAGUAACUCAAAAAAAUAAAUUUCUUACUCAUUUAAAAAGUAAUAUUAUUACUUUACUCAAUCCCUGCUAACAGUAACUAGCUACACUAUUAGUUAUAUUACUUUUCUGCUACUCCCUAAAAAAUAGGGAAUAGUGUAUUAUUACUAAAAUUAAUUAGUAAUUAGUUACACUACUAGUUAAUGGGGAUAGUAAUGUUAUUAAUGAAAUAUUAUUAGUAAUGAGUUAAUGCCCAACACUGCUUAACAAUUAUGUAAGCCCAUUACUUCCUCAAUCCACUUGAUUCACAUCCAUGUGACACACACACACACACACACACACACACACACACACACACACACACACACACACACACACACACACACACUGCAGUUACGGUCAUACAACCUUAGUUGUAAGUGGUACCCUUUCAUUACUUCUUGUAAAUUAUAACUUUUAUGUUGUUCUUCUAAUUCUCACAACUUCUGGGAAGAGGGGAGACCACAGACUCACUGUCUGUCUCACACACUGACACACACACACACACAAACACACACAUAUGUUAGAGUUUGUAAGUGUCAAUGUACAUCACAAUAUUGCAUCACCUUU
rnacentral:lncRNA from 15 species